UGCUGGUUCUUCCUGAAGUACAGGAUCAUUUGGAGUGCUGGCAAGAGGCUGAGAGCUCACAGCUUCCUGAUUGUCCUCUUGACUCCUUGUAAAAGGGCUUGCCUUCUCAGGACCAUUCUAAUCUACAGCCAGAGCAGAAGAGCAUGGGAAGGCUGCCUCACACUGCUCACCACAAUGCUCUCCCCCUCUCUUGCUGGUCAAGUGAUGCUGCUAAUGUUUCAGCUGCAUCCAUCUAACCAAUUUAAACACUGUCAUUGUUUUUGAAGCAGAUGCUUGCCCUGAUAUUCUUUAAAGGUACCUGUGCAAUUUGCUCCAAGGAGAACCAGAUUUCUGAAUCCACUGCAGUGAUUCAUCUCUAUCAUUACAAGACUCUCCUUAAAGGGAAAUGUCCUUGGUUAUUCCCACGGAAAGCUUUCCUACCAUGGGGCAACAUUUGGAAGUCUCCAGAAACUCAUCUCAGUGCUCUAUAAUCUACAUCUUAACACAUGCUUGUGAAUCUACCUACUUCAAUAGCAAAUUAACUUUUUGGAAAGGAAUCCAUUGGGGGUGGGGGGAGGCAGUCAAUGGCAUUGUUUGCUAAAUUUUCCCUCUGGCCAUGGCAGCCCAGGGAGUGGCUUGUACUAAACCACAGCCCACGCGUACAUUUGGCAGCAAUCCUGUGGAUUUACAGGAUUCCUUCUAGAUUUCUUCUUGCUGUUCAAACACCCUCCAGAGUAUGUCACUGUGGGCCUCCUUAGUUCUUUAAGACUAUUUAUAGUGUUAAGAAUAACUCUAUGUAGACACAGAACUGCAUUCAACCACAUGGCAAUAGGCAGCAAAACUACUCUGUCUUUGGAAAUGAGGGCAGUUUGUGAGUCUACUGAAGUUUAACGCUGCUGAGCAGACAGGAGACAUCCAGGGUAGACAUGGCUACUAUAACACUAGGAUCACUGCAAGCAGUUUUCCCACUGUUGUCUGGCUGCUCCGGUAGGAAGCCAUUGGAAGUAGGAAGUGCAUUGUGCUCAAAGAACAGCGUGAUAGGUAGUUGAUGUAUCAGAGAGUUGAGAACAAAGGAUUUCUGGAUUAAUAUAAACUCGUACAUUGACUCCCAUGACCUUGACCCUUAUUACAUUUUUGCCUAUGUUUACUUGUCUGUGUUAUAAGCAUAAUAUUUAUCUACCUUAUCCCAUCACUGUAAUGUUUCAUUGGAUAAGGUCUGCACAAUGUCAUGUAACUGCAGGUUAUUGCAGGAUGGAGGUGGGAGACAGUAAAAUGCCAUUGAGAUCAAAGAGAACAAGUGGCCAGUCUCACUAGUGGUAAGCUGGCAGGGUAACUGCUGAUUCAUGUCUGUUGAAAAUCUGACCUCAAUGAAACAAAGGUGAAGAGUGGCAGAAAAGGAAUAAAGGAAAGCAGGAUUCCUUCAAGGGAAGGAGAUGACCAUGUUCAGAUUGAAUAAUAAAUAAAUAAAUAAACAAACAAACAAACAAUAUAUUUACUUACCAGAAAAAUAAAAGAGGAAAAGAAAGAAAGAAAUGGAGAGGAAGAAGAAAAACCUCAAGCUUCAGAAAACUAUCAGGAGAUAGCACGGAUAGCUUAGAAACAGAAGACAUGAGA